GACGAACGCUGGCGGCGUGCUUAACACAUGCAAGUCAAGGACCGUAGCAAUACGGGACUGGCGCACGGGUGCGGAACACGUAGGCAAUCUGCCCUUCAGGGGAGAACAACCAGCCGAAAGGUUGGCUAAAUCUCCGUAAAAUCAUAGAGUGGCAUCACUUAUUGAUCAAGUUUUCUGAAGGAUGAGCCUGCGUCUGAUUAGCUAGUUGGCGGGGUAACGGCCCACCAAGGCUACGAUCAGUAGCUGGUCUGAGAGGAUGAUCAGCCACAUU
rnacentral:rRNA from 1 species